GUCUCUCCCUCCCUCAGCUUCACUCGCUCUUGUGCUGUAAGUUCAUUUGCUGUGUCAAGCAACAACUGGCUCGGGAGUGGGCAUUGGGUUUUGAUCCUUUUGUCAAGCGUCCCCUCUGCGAUGUGUACCGCAUCCACCUGCACACCACGGGACUGGUCGCCUGGCUCUCUCUAACAUCGCCGUACCGUCCUGGGUUUAUCACGAUUGGGCAUCCCACCUUGCUGAAACGGGCGGCAUGAUGAGAUGCUGAAGGUUUGACGGGGUGAACCCGCUACUGUGGACUAUCAUCACCAUCAUCAUCAUCAUCAUCAGAAUCAUCGCAGUGGCAAUGGGAGUCAGGACAUGGAUGCUAGCCGGAGGACCUCCGCGGGGGUCCUUGCAUCCCAGAAUUGUUCAUGCCGUUGAUUUCAAACCGUUAUUUGGCUAUCCUUGGAUUCUCAAACAGCCCAGCAAGAGCUCAUGCCUCCCUCCUAAAGACUUUAAGGCUUCCAGCUGUCAUUACUUUCUCUAAAACCAAGCAAU